CCUGCCCCUAGAGGCAUUGCAGGUGUGGCUGCUGUGUCACACGUGUGUCAGAAGGUGGCAGAGAGGAACGAGGCUCCACUCAGUGCUCUGACCUGUGAACAUCUGAAUGAUUAGUAGCCUAACAUU
rnacentral:snoRNA from 1 species